GAUGAACGCUAGCGAUAGGCUUAACACAUGCAAGUCGAGGGGCAGCAUAUUCGAAGCCUGCUUUGAAUGAUGGCGACCGGCGCACGGGUGCGUAACGCGUAUGUAACCUGCCUGUCAGAAGGGGAUAACCCGGAGAAAUCCGGACUAAUACCGCAUACACUUAGUUAUCCGCAUGGAUGAUUAAGGAAAGAUUUAUUGCUAAGAGAUAGGCAUGCGUUCCAUUAGUUAGUUGGUGAGGUAACGGCUCACCAAGGCAUCGAUGGAUAGGGGAGCUGAGAGGCUUAUCCCCCACAUUGGGACUGAGACACGGCCCAA
rnacentral:rRNA from 1 species